GAAAACGCAAAAUUCCCUCAUGUCACGUUGUAGCAACGUAAAAGCCUUCCUUCGAGCCGGAUUCGAACCAGCG